UACGGAGGGGGCUAGCGUUGUUCGGAAUUACUGGGCGUAAAGCGCGCGUAGGCGGCUUGGAAAGUGGGGGUGUGAAAGCCCUCGGCUUAACCGAGGAAUUGCGCUCCAAACUCCCAAGCUUGAGGAAGCUAGAGGUGAGCAGAACAGAUGGUGGAGCGGUGAAAUGCGUUGAUAUCAUCUGGAAUACCGGAGGCGAAGGCGGCGUCACU
rnacentral:rRNA from 1 species